rnacentral:rRNA from 1 species
UACGUAGGGUGCAAGCGUUAAUCGGAAUUACUGGGCGUAAAGCGUGCGCAGGCGGCUUUGCAAGACAGAUGUGAAAUCCCCGGGCUUAACCUGGGAACUGCAUUUGUGACUGCAUUGCUGGAGUGCGGCAGAGGGGGUUGGAAUUCCGCGUGUAGCAGUGAAAUGCGUAGAUAUGCGGAGGAACACCGAUGGCGAAGGCAAUCCCCUGGGCCUGCACUGACGCUCAUGCACGAAAGCGUGGGGAGCAAACAGG